rnacentral:rRNA from 1 species
UGGCCGUAAACGAUGUGGACUUGGUGUUGGAAUGGCUCCGAGCUGCUCCAGUGCCGAAGGGAAGCUGUUAAGUCCACCGCCUGGGAAGUACGGUCGCGAGACUGAAACUUAAAGGAUUGGCGGGGGAGCACCACAACGCGUGGAGCCUGCGGUUUAAUUGGAUUCAACGCCGGACAUCUCACCAGGGGCGGCAGCAGAAUGAUGGCCAGGUUGAUGACCUUGCUUGACAAGCUGAGAGGAGGUGCAUGGCGUGUGACUGU